rnacentral:rRNA from 1 species
UACGUAGGGGGCAAGCGUUGUCCGGAUUUAUUGGGCGUAAAGAGCGUGUAGGCGGCUUUACAGGUCCGUUGUGAAAUCCCGGAGCUCAACUUCGGAACUGCCUUUGAUACAGCACGUCUUGAGUCCGAUAGAGGUGGGUGGAAUUCCUAGUGUAGAGGUGAAAUUCGUAGAUAUUAGGAAGAACACCGGUGGCGAAGGCGGCCCACUGGAUCGGUACUGACGCUGAGGUGCGAAAGCGUGGGGAGCAAACAGG